UACAGAGGGUGCGAACGUUGCUCGGAAUCACUGGGCGUAAAGCGCGUGUAGGCGGGUGAUCAAGUCAGGUGUGAAAUCCCUGGGCUCAACCCAGGAACUGCAUCUGAAACUGGUCGUCUUGAGUGCUGGAGAGGGAAGCGGAAUUCCUGGUGUAGAGGUGAAAUUCGUAGAUAUCAGGAGGAACACCGGUGGCGAAGGCGGAUCUCUGGGCCUGGAUCUGACGCUGAGGCGGCGAAAGC
rnacentral:rRNA from 1 species